rnacentral:ncRNA from 1 species
GGGGCCCGAAGCAUUUACUUUGAGAAAAUUCGAGUGUUCAAAGCAGGCCGGCCGCUGGCACACUGCAGCUGUGAAUAAUGGAAUAGGACUCCGGUUCUGUUUUGUUGGUUUUCAGAAACGGGGCCAUGAUUAAGAGGGAUGGCCGGGGGCAUUCGUAUUGUGCCGCUAGAGGUGAAAUUCCUGGACCGGCGCAAGACAGCCUAGAGCGAAAGCAUAUGCCAAAGAUGGCAUG